AUGGCUCGCCUCGCCGUGGUCGCCGCCAUCAUGGCCCUCCUCGCCGUCGCCACCGCCGCGCAGGGCCCCAUGCCGGCGCCCAGGAUGGCCCCGCUACCGGCGCCUCCGGCGAGGUCGCCGACCACCGCCCCUGCGCCGGUCGCCACCCCGCCCACCGCCGCGUCGCCGUCCCCGAUGGCCUCUACCCCGGCCCCUACCACCGACGCUCCCUCUGCGAUGACGCCCUCCGCGGUCUCCGCCACGCCCUCCGGCGCCCCCACCGGCACUCCCGCGAGCUCUGCCGUGUACUCGUCCGCCGCCAGCUUCGUCGCAGUCGCCGGAGCGGUCGCCGUAGCGGUCAUGUUCUAG
rnacentral:rRNA from 1 species